rnacentral:lncRNA from 1 species
GUGCCUUAAACUGCAGGGGUGUCCUAGCUCUAUUUAAUUGCUUGAUGGCAUCUCUGUGUCCCAGGCUUCUAGAAGCUCCGCAAGAGCAGGCAGCCAGCCGAUCUGGAGCCUGGAACCGAGAGUGCUUGAUACCGUUUGUCAACUAUCCUGGAAUCUAGACCUGAUUACGACGUGCAGCCCGGGGAUUAGUCAACGGCCCUCACCUUCCGAAAGGACCAGAAAGCUGAGCUCCAGGGGACUUUGGCAAGAAGAAAACAACACAAGAAACUUAAUAAGACAGGGGCAAAAGAUGCAGCUCAAUCAUAGAGCACUUGCCUCGCAUCGCAAGGCCCUGGGUUCUACCCGCAACAGCAAAACCAAACACAAACAAGAAGAGGUCAAUGGAAUUGUACACUAGAAGCCCAGAGGUAGGUGG